UCAAAACCUGCAAUGCAGAACGACCCGCGAACAUGUCACCUGAACUGGGCGAUGUCGAGUGCCAUAACGGCCCUCGACGGAACCCGACGCCAGGCAAGGGGGCUUGCCCUCUAACCUGGUUUAACCUCGAACCCCGGCGUGAGAAACGCCAAGGAAUAUAAACGAGAGACGGUCACCCCGAAAGCGUCGUGCAUGCGGCGUGAUAGGGAGGGCCGUGCCUCCACUAUGUCUAUAACGACUCUCGGCAACGGAUAUCUCGGCUCUCGCAUCGAUGAAGAACGUAGCGAAAUGCGAUACUUGGUGUGAAUUGCAGAAUCCCGUGAACCAUCGAGUUUUUGAACGCAAGUUGCGCCCAAAGCCUUCGGGCCGAGGGCACGUCUGCCUGGGUGUCACGUACUCGUUGCCCCCUUCUUCCUUCACCCCUAAACGGGCGUCGGUCGGGGGCGGAUUCUGGUCUCCCGUGCGCUCCCGCUCGCGGUUGGCCUAAAACUGAGUCCCUGGCGCCGAGCGUCACGACAAGCGGUGGUUGAAACAUGCCCUCCUGCAAGACGUCGUGUACGCCCGUCGUCGAUUACCGGGAACUCCGAGACCCACGAACUCCACUGCGACCCCAGGUCAGGC
rnacentral:misc_RNA from 1 species